rnacentral:rRNA from 1 species
GUGCCAGCAGCCGCGGUAAUACAGAGGGUGCGAGCGUUAAUCGGAAUUACUGGGCGUAAAGCGCGCGUAGGUGGCUUUGUAAGUCGGAUGUGAAAUCCCCGGGCUCAACUUGGGAACUGCAUUCGAAACUGCAUUGCUAGAGUAUGGAAGAGGGAAGUGGAAUUUCCGGUGUAGCGGUGAAAUGCGUAGAUAUCGGAAGGAACACCAGUGGCGAAAGCGACUUCCUGGUCCAAUACUGACACUCAAGUGCGAAAGCGUGGGGAGCAAACAGGAUUAGAUACCCCCGUAGUCC